UAAAUCAAAAUGAUUGAUCUGAGGGUACA
rnacentral:piRNA from 1 species